GACGAACGCUGGCGGCGUGCUUAACACAUGCAAGUCGAACGGAAAGGCCCCUUUGGGGGUACUCGAGUGGCGAACGGGUGAGUAACACGUGGAUAACCUACCUAUAAGACUGGGAUAACUUCGGGAAACCGGAGCUAAUACCGGAUAAUAUUUUGAACCGCAUGGUUCAAAAGUGAAAGACGGUCUUGCUGUCACUUAUAGAUGGAUCCGCGCUGCAUUAGCUAGUUGGUAAGGUAACGGCUUACCAAGGCAACGAUGCAUAGCCGACCUGAGAGGGUGAUCGGCCACACUGGAACUGAGACACGGUCCAGACUCCUACGGGAGGCAGCAGUAGGGAAUCUUCCGCAAUGGGCGAAAGCCUGACGGAGCAACGCCGCGUGAGUGAUGAAGGUCUUCGGAUCGUAAAACUCUGUUAUUAGGGAAGAACAUAUGUGUAAGUAACUGUGCACAUCUUGACGGUACCUAAUCAGAAAGCCACGGCUAACUACGUG
rnacentral:rRNA from 1 species